UACGUAGGGGGCAAGCGUUGUCCGGAUUUAUUGGGCGUAAAGAGCGUGUAGGCGGCCUGGCAAGUCCGCUGUGAAAACUCGAGGCUUAACCUCGAGACGUCGGUGGAAACUGCCUGGCUAGAGUCCGGAAGAGGAGAGUGGAAUUCCAGGUGUAGCGGUGAAAUGCGUAGAUAUCUGGAGGAAUACCGGUGGCGAAGGCGGCAUCCUGGACCGAGAUUGACACUAAAGCGCGAAAGCCAGGGGAGCAAACGGG
rnacentral:rRNA from 1 species